GGGGCGGUUUCCGGAUUAUUGGGCGUAAGAGCUCGUAGGCGGUUUGUCGCGUCUGCCGUGAAAGUCCGGGGCUCAACUCCGGAUCUGCGGUGGGUACGGGCAGACUAGAGUGAUGUAGGGGAGACUGGAAUUCCUGGUGUAGCGGUGAAAUGCGCAGAUAUCAGGAGGAACACCGAUGGCGAAGGCAGGUCUCUGGGCAUUAACUGACGCUGAGGAGCGAAAGCAUGGGGAGCGAACAGGAUUAGAUACCCUGGUAGUCCAUGCCGUAAACGUUGGGCACUAGGUGUGGGGGACAUUCCACGUUUUCCGCGCCGUAGCUAACGCAUUAAGUGCCCCGCCUGGGGAGUACGGCCGCAAGGCUAAAACUCAAAGGAAUUGACGGGGGCCCGCACAAGCGGCGGAGCAUGCGGAUUAAUUCGAUGCAACGCGAAGAACCUUACCAAGGCUUGACAUGGGCCGGACCGGGCUGGAAACAGUCCUUCCCCUUUGGGGCCGGUUCACAGGUGGUGCAUGGUUGUCGUCAGCUCGUGUCGUGAGAUGUUGGGUUAAGUCCCGCAACGAGCGCAACCCUCGUUCCAUGUUGCCAGCGCGUAAUGGCGGGGACUCAUGGGAGACUGCCGGGGUCAACUCGGAGGAAGGUGGGGACGACGUCAAAUCAUCAUGCCCCUUAUGUCUUGGGCUUCACGCAUGCUACAAUGGCCGGUACAAAGGGUUGCGAUACUGUGAGGUGGAGCUAAUCCCAAAAAGCCGGUCUCAGUUCGGAUUGGGGUCUGCAACUCGACCCCAUGAAGUCGGAGUCGCUAGUAAUCGCAGAUCAGCAACGCUGCGGUGAAUACGUUCCCGGGCCUUGUACACACCGCCCGUCAAGUCACGAAAGUUGGUAACACCCGAAGCCGGUGGCCUAACCCCUUGUGGGAGGGAGCUGUCGAAGUGGGACUGGCGAUUGGGACUAAGUCGUAACAAGGUAAC
rnacentral:rRNA from 1 species